GAUCAUUAAGAGAGAUUCAUGAUUGGAGUUGGCAGUAAGGCUCCAUUGUUGUUUUCAACUUGGGUUUGUUAGUUGAAGGUCUUACACAAGUGAAACAGCUGCAGCCAAUAGCAAGAUGUGCCUUUUACUUACUCAACAUACAACCUGAUAAUUGCACACAUGCAUACACACAGAAUCACAUGUGGACAAUUGUGCUUGGCAUUCAACAACACAUCAAAGGAGGAAACAAACAUCUGAGCCCAUCUACGAAAGUCUGGAUUUACUUUGUUUUUGGACACAGCAAGAGCUUCCAGAAACUGGCCAUCCUGGGUGGAUCCAGGUUGGGGUUCUCCAUGGACUCCAUCUGAGGGCAUCGCAGGAAGUAGUAGAGAGUGUGGAGGGCAUCCGGAGACCAGGAGACAGGCUGCUGGCGGGCAUGACGUGCAGGACUGAGCCCGUGACGGACAGAACUGAGGCGCUGCAUAUGGUGCAUGGCCCGUGAUACCAGAUAUCGAAUUAUCACCAGAGCACAGUCGGAAGCUUACAAGACCUUGGACACUAACUGAAACCAAAAACCACAUGUUGGCCUUCAUAGCAAAUGUGGAAAGCAAAUGUGAGAGAGUCAGCACAUUGCCUCCUCUAAAAAGAUUUGGGGAUGAAACACCCACCUGCUGAUGUCUUUCCCUCAUGGAUCUCACAGUUCCACAACAUCCUUAUGAUUGUACCAACAAGGCAUGCAUUGAAAACUGGAUUCUCAACACGUAGCAGGAAACAGUCCAGGUAAUAACUAAACUACAUAUGGAUACAGUAAUCAAGAUUCAAUGCAUGUCUUGGUCUACGCUAAGUUGAGAAGCAAAGUUCUGGGCUGGCCACUCCAUUUGUGGGAACAUUUAGACUUCAUUUGUGGUAAUCACCCCUUGGGUUCAUUUUCCAAACCACAGAGUGGAUUGUGAGUAGGAGGAAUCUUCCGUUAUUAUCUGAAAGAUGCCAAACUUGCAGCAAUAGGGUCCUUAUU